CUUUUGUCUUUUUGUUGUUGUUGCUAUUUAUUGGGCCGCUCCCGCGGCAUAUGGAGGUUCCCAGGCUAGGGGUCGAAUUGGAGCUGUAGCCACCGGCCUACGCCAGAGCCACAGCAACGCGGGAUCCGAGCCGCGUCUGCAACCUACACCACAGCUCACGGCAACGCCGGAUCGUUAACCCACUAAGCAAGGGCAGGGACCGAACCCGCAACCUCAUGGUUCCUAGUCGGAUUCGUUAACCACUGCGCCACGACGGGAACUCCUUGUUUUGUUUUCUUUUCUUUUUGCCUUGUUUCUAGGGCUGCUUCUGUGGCAUUUGGAGGUUCCCAGGCUAAGGGUCUAAUCGGAGCUUUAGCCGCUGGCCUACGCCAGAGUCAUAGCAACACGGGAUCUGCGCCUUGUCUGCGACCUACACCACAGCUCACAGCAACGCCAGAUCCUUAACCCACUGAGCAAGGCCAGGGACUGAACCUGAAACCUCAUGGUUCCUAGUUGGAUUCGUUAACCACUGUGCCGCGACGGGAACUCCCAUCAUCAGUUAUUAUUUUACAAUGGAAAACUAUGGAUUGUAUAGGCCAAAUGACAUAACUUUCCUAACUAAGGGCCCAGAAUCAAACUCAAAAUCUAGUGUUCUUUUCCUGAUACCAUUUGACCCCCAACCAAAGUUUAAUAUAAUGUUUCUUUUUUUCUUAAUCUGUCUCUAUUUACUCAAUCUUAUAUACUUAAUAGGACCUUUACCAAUGCUGGGGGGGGGCAGGUAUUAUUGAUAUUAUUGAACAAAUUUAAUAAAUUUAAACUAGCACACAUUAUACCUCAUAAUAUUUCAGGAUUUUUCUCAUCCAACAGAAUUUUCAAGAGACAUACAUCACUCAACAGACACCAUCACCCACGACAGAAACCUUCUGCCUUUCCACCCACCCGCUUCCUCAAGCUAUAAAAACUGCAAAUGGGAGAGCUAGUCCACUGAACCCAUACAAGCAAUCAUUUAUUCCUCCACUAAAAGCAGAAUAUGGCAGGGGGAAUUUGGGAGGAGUGAAAUGAGGGUUGUCAGACUAACAGUGACAAAUGAGAUACGAUUGUUCUCCAAAAGCUUGGAGCCAAGGGGUCUUCCCUUUUCCCCUCCCCUUAAUCCCCACUGCUUCCAACCAGUGUAAAAAUAAAAUGAUUACCAGUGUGUGAUGGGAUAAAAAUUGCUUUGGGCAUUUUUUUCCUCAGAGAACACAAGAUUGAAUUGGAAGAAUGAGGCUAGAGCUUCAAGAUACACACUGGAAGGGAGGAGUUGUAUUAAGGCUGUGUUAGAAAGGAGAAAUACACACGGGGGGUCCUGGCUGUCACAAAAUAUCAUGCAAACCUUGUGCAUACCCAGCCUGCCAAACAAGGAGCCCAUCACUACUGGAUAAUACACCCAAGAUUAUUGCCCCUGUUCAUUUGGGUUUUAAGGAAUAUUCUGUCAGCCUCUUGCUCCCCUCCCUGUUAGUUACUGUCAUGGUUUUUGGGUCAGUUUUGUUAGACUGUCGUACCAGAUGACUCAAUCAAACAGCACUCAAGGUGUUUCUGGGAAGGCACAUUGUAGACGUGACCAACAGCUACAACCAGUUGGCUUUAUAGAGAUCAUCCUGGAUAAUCUAGGUGGGUCUGACCCAAUUUGCCAAGGCCUUAGGGACAGAAUUGAGGUUUCCCUGAGGAAGAAGACACUUCCUGUGGACUGCAGCAUUAGCUCUUAAAACAAGAAUUUUCAAACUCCCCUUCCUAAUGACCCACCCUAUGGAUUUUGGACUUGCCCAGUAAGCUCUCAAAGUCGCAUUACAAUUCCCUGCAAUCAAUCUUUCUCCCUCUUCUCUCUGCAGCUCUCUCUCUCUGUACUGGUUCUGGUUUUUUGGUGGAACCCUGACUGAUACACUUAUCAAGUACACAUGCAGUGAUUUGCUUAGCCAAGUGGAAUUUUACAGGUUGAACUGUGUUCCCCCAAAAUUCAUUAUUUUGAAGUCCCGACAUCUAGUAUCUCAGAAUCUGAUCUCAUUUGGAAAUCGGGUCACUACAGACAUAAUUAGUUAAGGUGAGGUCAUUAGGGUGGGCUCUCAUAUGACUGGUAUCCUUAGGAAAAAGACACAGUUUGGGCAUAGGCACCCACACAGGGAGAAGGACAGGUGAAGAUGGAGACAUCAGUGAUGCUUUUCAAGCCACCGAAUACCAAAGGUGGCCAGCAAACCCCCAGAGGGUAGAACUUAGAGGCUUGGAACAGAUUGUUUCCCGGAGCCCUCAGAAGGAAGCAGCCGUGCUGUCACUUUGAUCUUGGACGUCUAGCCUCCAGAACUGAUACAAUAAAUUUGUAUUGUUUAAGCCACUCAUUUUGUUGUACUUUCUUAAAGCAGCCCUAGAAAACAAAUACAAGGCAUUACCAGGAAAACUAAGGGAACUGAAUUAGGAAAAGUUAAGAAAAGGACAAAGUUACUUCUAAGAAUUUGAGAAAGCUCCAUUUCCUUAAUGUCUUUGAAAUAAAAACUAAUCUCUUCUUACAUUUAACUAUUUUACUGUCAAUAUCCACUCAGGAAGAAAAGUCGUGCAACAAAUAGUUACGGAGAUGUACAAAUGCACCAGAAAUUUCUGAAUGUGAUCUUUCGGAAUGUUCAUUCCUUGAUCUAGUCUCCUUUUGGAUACCAGACCCUAUGGAACUCUCCAUGACCAUUCAUUCCUUCAUAUAUGACACUUGUGGAGUAUAGCUCUUUUAUAGGAAAAGCUACCCACCAUCACCUGGUGCCCCUUCCCUUUUUCUAGCAAAUGAAGUUAAUACAGAUCCUGCAAAAGGAAACAAAUAAUUCUGCCCAAGGGUUCCACACAGCUUACAAUAUGGCAGAACUGGAACCCAGAUCAUUUGAUCCUCUAUUCAGUGAUUUCCUAAGACGUUAUUUCUAUCCAUUUAUUGAGUUAGCAGCUCACAUAACUGCUCUCAAAUUAUCAUAUCAGGAACAUUUAGAAGGAGCAUGUCUUAUCUAAAUAUUAUGUUUUUGCUAAUACCCAGGAAUGUGGCUUUGGAUAGAUUACUCCUCUCUUUUAGAUAUGUUUUCUCAUCUAUAAAAUAAAACUGCCCUGGAUAAUCUAUUUCACAGUAAUAGAAUCAGCAUCAGCAUAGUGGAAAGACCUUGAUUUGAGUCCACUUACUGUCAGUCUCUAUGUAAAUAACAGUAGCCAAGUUAUUAGCUUUAUUGAGUUUUUUUUCUUCAUUUGUAAAAUGGGAAUUGGGAUGACAUCUCUUUUACUGGGCCACUUUAAGGAUGACAUGAGCUAACCCAUGUGGGAACAUGUUAGAAACUCUGAAGUGCAUUAAGGAAGAUAAAGGAGGUAACAUUCCAUAACCUAUAAUCUCUCCCAUCCCACACUUGUAGAGGGUAAGCACUGCAAAAUGUCCUAUGUGGUUUCAUCAGACUUGUUCAGAAAGUCAUAUUCUAUCUGAAUGUAUCAGUUUAAUGUGUUUUACAAGCUUCAAAGUCUGACCUAGGAUACAAAAGAGCAUUUUUUUUCAGGACCUAGUAAUUAUUUGGUAAAUUGGGGUAUCCCCAUGAUGUGCCCCUAAGCAUUUCUUUCACUAUUUUCAUCCCUUGCUUAUCUAGUUCCCUAUCUACACUGUAAGCACUUAAGACAAUAGGGACUAUGUUUUGGUCACCUCUAUAUUCUAGCAUCUAUCUGUCUUUUGAAUUAACACUUGAAUAAAUAACCCAAUCUUGUUCAAUUCCAUCUUGACAAUAAUAACUUUAAGUAAAAAGUUUAAGGUAAAAAGAAAUUGACUUAAGGUAGUAUUUAAAUAUGAUAAAUGUAAAACACAUUUAUAUCAAGUCCAUUACUAAAAACAGUUGACCAUUGCAAGUAAAAUUACUUAAGCCUGGAAGUUUACUAUUAGUCUAUUAAUUUAUAUGAUUCCCCCAUGUCUAAUAGAACCCAUUGAUUAUAAAGCAAUUUAUAAACAUCAAUUUUCUAGGCUGUGAAGGCAUAGAAAUUAUAAGGAAGAGACAGUUGUGCUGAAAUUGUGUGGUAUAAAGAUGUCACAGUUUGAAAUAUAGUUAUAGAUUUCUGAAUGUAAAUGGAGUCAUCAGAAUAAGACUACGAAUUUCACGUGCUUUGAGAAACUUAGCUUGUUUAACACUGACUCAGUGACUUCAUAGCUAAUGAGAGUUACAACGCCUCAGAUUCUGAAAGAAUACACCUAUGAAAUUUAUGGAGUAGGAUUUCAAAAUGCCCAACAUGUUUGCCAAAGAGUGACACAACAGGCUAUUUUAAAGAA
rnacentral:lncRNA from 1 species